rnacentral:lncRNA from 1 species
ACGGCGGUCCAAAGUUGGAUGGGUGACCGUAGAAGUUAGGCAAUGCCAGAUGUGACAACGAUGCUUGUUAAGAAGCAAUAUAAAUUUUUUUUUUUUUUUACAUUAUAAUUAUGUUAUUUCAAUAUUUUCAUAAUGGAAGUGCUGCAUAUAUAAGAUAUGUACCCAAAAUAUUUUCUAAAACAUCAAAAUAACGGCGACUUUUACUACCUGGGAUAGUCAUGUUCCCGUAAUAUUUCAGAAACGUUCUUGCGGACCAAAGCGGACAUUUUGACAUUGCUGCAACCUUACAGAAACAUUGCAGAGACCUAACCGAAAGCUGCCACAACAUAUUUCCGUAAUAUUUCAGAAACGUUCUUGCGGAUCAAAGCGGACAUUUUGACAUUGCUGCAACCUUACAGAAACAUUGCAGACAUAACGUAACGUUACUGCAACAGUUUCAACAUUUCAGUGUUAUGUCUCUGCGACAUUGCAGAAACUUUUGUGUGCUAUCAGGGUGUCGUCUUCCAUGUAUUUCUACGCGUCGCGUUUGGCCCCCUUCGGUCCGACUUGACGCCCUUCGGCCCUUAUCGUCCUGCAAGGAGAAUGCGCAUGCAGAACCAUGAUGUAAGAGCCCUCGCACAGAUUUUUGCAUAACACAUAGUGCAUAACGCAUAAGAAAAUUAAUCAAUCAGAGUCAUCGAUUUCCCUCCCUAGAAUAGAAAUAAAGACCUCUGAUUGGUCUUUCUCUUAUGCAUUAUGUAUUUUGUAUUAUGCAUAAUUCUUUUAUGCAUUAUGUAUUUUGUAUUAUGCAGAAGUCUGUGCGGCGGCUCUAAGGAUACUAGAUGAACUAUAUUCACUCACACUUGACCGGAAGUGAAUAUUUAAAUAAUUUCUAUGUGUAAACGUUUGUAUUUUGUAUGAAGAGGUUUGAAGUGCAAUUAACAAGGUUUGUGAGUCAUUUGUUUAUUUGUAAUUAAUUAUUUUUUCACAUGACACUUAGCCGGAAUAUAUUAAUUGAACAAAGUUAUUAUACGGAAUCGUUUGAAGUUUGUAUGAAAAAUUAUGAAGUUUGAUCAAAAAGGUUUGUGAGUGAUCCAAAUACAUUUUAUUUAAUUCGUGAAAAUUAGCCAAAAUUUACCGACAAUAUGUAACAGCAUGAGCAUGCGCAACGGUCACAUCCUCAUGGUUCUUGGCCACAAGUGCAUGCUCUGUCUAGCACAAUCCAUGCAAAAAAUGCGCAAAUUUCAAACUUCAUAACUUUUCAUACAAACUUCAAACGAUUUCGUAUAAUAACUUUAUUCAAUUAAUAUAUUCCGGCUAAGUGUCAUGUGAAAAAAUAAUUAAUUAAUUACAAAUAAACGAAUGACUCACAAAUCUUGUUAAUUGCACUUCAAAUCUUUUCAUACAAAAUAUGAACAAUUACACAUAGCAAUUAUUUAAAAAAACGUUCACUUCCGGUCAAGUGUGAGUGAAUGUGAACCAUUCCCGUGAAUGCGCAGUAGUCUAAAGUAAUAACCAAUCACAAUGACUCAGAAUGCAAGAAUCUAAUAUGGCUGCAUUCGGUACAUUGAAGUAUUCCUAACCGUUCCUAUGCGAUAGUCUGAGUAUUUUUUUGCGUUAAUCAGUGUUCCUGUGCGAUAACCUGCGUUGAGUAAAACCAAAACUACAAGCAACAUUAAAAACAUACUAGUGUUCCUGUUCGCGAUAGUCUCGUAAGCAAAGCCACAAAGUCACAUAAAAAACACUUAAAACCUGUAAGUAUAUGCAAAUAAUACGCAAUUAAUUCAACGUUUCAAUUUCGCGCUUGCAUUCUGAGCCUUUUUUUGGCUCACUUAUACAUGACGUACAUUGAUGUCAUGACAUCAUGCAAUGAUUCACCUUGUAAGAGCCCCCGCACAGACUUUUGCAUAACGCAUAACAUAAAUGCAUAAGAAAUUCGAUUGAUUGAAUUUCUUAAGCACUUUGCUUAUGAACCAAUCAAUUUGCUUAUGUACAUACGUUAUGCGUUAUGCAAAAAUCUGUGCGGGGGCGCUAAUAAUGCCCCCCGUGCCACGCGACGCAUUGGCGCCAUUAAUCUAACACGUGACCCACGCGGUCUCACAUGAAUUCGACGAUUUCGAACUUGUGUAUUGGAGAUAUUAUUUGGGAAUAAUAAAGUGCAUUAAUAUUUUAACUAAAGAAUUUAUUAUCCUGCCCGCGUCGUCCCGAAGAAAUUAUACCGGCGUGCACACGCGGAAAGCUUUCGAGCUCACGUCGUCGUACUCAGCGAAGCGACAAAACAUAUGGCUUAUUUCUUUAAUUAUCCUGAUAGCACAGAAAAGUUUCUGCAAUGUUGCAGAGACAUAACACUGAAAAGUUGAAACUAUUACAGUUACGUUACGUUAUGUCUCUGCAAUAUUUCUGUAAUGUUGCAGCAAUGUCAAAAUGUCCGCUUUGGUCCGCAAGAACGUUUCUGAAAUAUUACGAGAAUAUGACUAUCCCAGGUAGUAAAAGUCGCCGUUAUUUUGACGUUUUAGAAAAUAUUUUGGGUACAUGCCCUAUAUAUGCAGCACUUCUAUUGUGAAAAAUAUUGAAAUAACAUAAUUAUAAUGUAAAAAAAAA